CGGCGGGGCGGUCCGAGCCGGCUGCUGCGAUCGCGGCGGCGGCGAGUCAAGGCGGCGCAGGAGGGCUCAUCGCAGAUCAUCUUGCCAUGUACAGGUCUAGCUGAAUGCAAGCAGAAGAUAGAAGAUUGUUAUCACCUAUACAAUGACACCAGCCCUGAACAGAAACAAAGAAAAGGAAGAAUGUCAGAAAAAUCAUGUUACUGUACAGGCAGGUGGACAUAGUUGUGGAUAUAAUUGCUGUCAGCUCAGUCUGAUCUUGAAGUUUCUUUC